AUGUAUAUAUAUUACAUUUGGUUUUAUUAUGGUUAUGAAAACAUAGUUAAUAAUAGGAGAGUUAGUGCUUAGAAGAACAGAGAGGCAAGCAAUGUGGGAGAGGGCCUAUGGUGAUGGUGGUGGACCCACGUGCUGCUCACCCACCACAACCCACGAGCCAUUUCUCUCCUUGGGGCGGCUCCUUCUGCAACUAAUGCUUUCGGCAAAGUGGACAUGGAUGGACGCAUUUGAGAGCUGAGACUCUUUAGUAUGGUACUUUAUUCACAUAACGAUAAAAAUAAUGAAAAAAAUUAUUAUAGCGUUACAGUGUUUGGUAUUAUUAAGUAGUAAGUAGGUGAUGUAAUUUGAAUUGGAUACGUACGUAUGUUUGUUGAUUUGAUUUGAAAGAUUGGAUAAUAUCUACCCUAGACACAAAAUUAUAAAAAAGAGUGAUUAAGAUGGCAGUGUCUUGUUUGUGUA